AUGAGUGGUGCUAUGAAGGGUGAGCUGUGCCAUGGCUGUGCUUAUUCUGAGGUCUAUCAUCAAUCUUUUCCUAUUAACUAUUCUACCGUGCUGCAAUUCAAGCUGCUGCUUGUGUGGAAGCAGAAGUCCUUGAGGGUAGAUGAAGACAUUACCUCACUCUUUAAAAACUCAUUUAACUGUCCAGGCUGGUUCUGACAGUUGUUGUUUUUUUUCACUAGGAGAGAGACAGACUUAGAAAUCCCAUCUCCUCAGCAUUAUGAAUGGCUUUGAGUUAUUCCACAUUCAAUCCUAUAGAGGAAGGAAAAAGUAGUAUACUAAAAACAUGACUUCAAAAAGGUAGGGAACAAACCUCAGUGUUUUCUAAACAUUCAGCCAACUCAGCUCACAGCCCCUUUUUGUUUCGAGGGAGAUCCUGUGGUUAAGGCACGCGAAUAACUACAUUAGCAGAAGGCAGCAGGCUGAAAACACGAGGAAGAGGAGAAAUUCCAAAGUCCAGUGGAUUCCUGAAAUCCUUCGGUGGUGGUGAGGGCUGAGGACAAAGGUUGAGCAGCAUUCCUGCGGGCGGUGAGCGCGGUGGAGCGAGCAGCUGCUUCUCACAAGGGUUAGGCUCAGGCAGCUGGGGCAGAGCUAACGGGGAGCACCAAACCCUGCAGGAGCCCAUGGCCAUUGCUGCUGCUUUGUCCCCAGCACACACCGUGCUGUGUUGGGUCACCAGGACUCACUGCUCCUCAGUGCAGCAGAGGAUGCCUCCAGCUUUCUGUGAUAGUGGCAGCAAUGUUUGGGCUACUCUGGAAAUGAAAACCAACCCAUUGGAUUUGCCUGCUCCUGCUUUGCAGCAUGUUGCUGCUUUUCCAUGCAUGGGUUAUCCCAUGGGCAGCCCACCAAGCAAAGGGCUGCAGGUGAGCAGUGCCAUGUGCAGGACCUUGGUGAUGCUGUGAUGAAUGGCUCCCAUUGGUUGGGGGAUGAUGUGCAACCCAGAGACGUGGUGGAAAUGUUCUGACUGCUGCCUGCAGAGCACAGAAUUGAGUUUUAAAAAAAACCAAUUUAUUUAUAAAUUAAAACCAUAAAAUUAACCAGUAGUUUACAUCAGUCACUGGAAAGAACAUCAAAAAAAAAAAGAACCAACAAAAAAAAAAUAAUAACCUGCAGAAAAAUAAUAAUUAUCUGUACAGGCUGUGGCCGGCCGGCCACCAGCUCACACAUCUCACACACCUGCAAUGCGCACGGUCACACACAGCAUUGUGCAAAGGCAGCAGUGGGCACCUCUGGGCGAUCACAUCAUACAGCAUUGGCUGCUGGGGAUGAGAGGUUGGGGUGGUGGGGGGUAAAAGUGGGGCUGGGGAGGCUGAGCUCUGCUCCUGUGGUGGGGAGCCCAUAGGGAAGGAAGGGGCUCCUGGCUCGGGUGUGGGUCCCUGAUCUGCAGCCUUGGGGCUCAGCUAUGGGCUUGGUGGGGACGUGGUGGUUGCUGAGCGGUGCAGAAGGCACAGACUGGUUUCUGUGGGUCACAUCUGUGGGUGAGGGGUGUUGGGUUGUGCUGGGAGUGCCCCUGUGCUUUGUGGCAGGAAGGGAGAAGCUUGUCCUGCUCGUUGUGGGGGGAGGUGGGAUGUGGGUGCUGGUAAUGGGGUGGGGGGCUUGGUGCCGGAUGCUGGCUCAACCUGGGGCUACGUGACUGCUGUGAUGGGAGAAUGGGGAAAGAAAUGCAUUUUUGGUUGCUGUGAUUCUAAAACGACAGGGAGGAGGCAGGAAACAUUAACUCUGGAUCUUCUGUAUAAAAUAAAUAUCCCCUCCUGAUGUCUGGGUCA
ensembl:lncRNA